GUAUGCUUAAUUUGCUUGGAAUGGUACUUGUAAUUCUAAAAAUUGCAUUGAUCUAAAUAUUCAGCACAAGAAUUUCGAAUGAGUUAGGGGCCGGAAAUCCACAGGGAGCUCGUGUAUCCACUAUUUCUCUGAUGCUUAUUGCAACUGUAGAAGCAAUAACAGUGAGCACAAUCAUCUUUGUUAGCCGGCACGUUUUUGGCUACAUUUUCAGCAAUGAGGAGGAAGUUGUGGACUAUGUCACAAAUAUGGCUCCUCUUCUUUGUCUAUCUACUAUAAUGGACAGCAUUCAAGGGACCCUUGCAGGUUAUUUAUUUUAACAAUCAUGUCUAUCAUAUAAAAUUUAAUCGUAAUUCUAGUAACUUGGGGCAUCUUUUUUCAUUUUUGGUUUUCAGGUGUCACAAGGGGUUGUGGCUGGCAGCACAUAGGAGCUUAUAUCAAUCUUGCUGCAUUUUACCUUUUCGGAAUUCCAAUUGCUGCAGCACUGGGUUUCUGGUUGAAUUUGAGAGGAAAAGGUCUUUGGAUCGGAGUACUCUCCGGCGCUACUUUACAAACGAUUAUGCUUGCCACAGUAACAAGUUUUACGAACUGGGAAAACCAGGUUGUGCAUUCCUUUCCUUUAUCCGCUUUUCGCUUUGAUCAUGAGACAGAUAUUACUUCUGCUACAAAAUUUCGAUUUCUCUCUUUUUGUAAAUGAAAAUCUUGUUAUGCUUCCAUUCUUCAGGCAGCUAAGGCUAGGGAGAGGUUAAUUACGGAGAAAUCUUCAGCUGAGGCGGCAUUUGUUUUAAGAGAAUAAGAGAAGAUUACGAAGGAGUCGCCUCUCCUUAUCUUCAUGCCUCCUUUAUGUAACAUCCAUUGGACUACAAAAUUCAUCGAUAGAGAUGACGUUCAUGAGGUCUAUAUGAUAUAGUGCAAGAAUUCGUCGAUAAAUAGGGCAGUGACAUGUUAAUAUUGGAGAAAGGAAAAACUAAUCGCCAAAGUACUACUAAGGUGAGUAAUGUUCAUAUUUCUAUGAAAACUAUUUCGGUUUGAAUAAAGGUUAGAAGCCUAUUUCACUUGACAUUUUCCUUGUAGCAUAUGCUUCUUCCAACACCUUGCUAUUUGAGUAUAAAGCCCGGUUGAGAAGAUUAUGUUAGACUUGGCCGCUACUCACUAGUGUCAUUAAACGUAAAUUUUAUGUUCAGAUGCAUGUUGUAACUCGCCGGUACGAAUGCACUUGUUACUGUUGUAAAAAUGCUGGCCUUUUUCAUUAAUCUUUGACAAGUUUAAUAUGAAACAAAUACUCACAUAGUACAAGUAAUACACUGUCUUGAAUAGGGGUGGG
rnacentral:lncRNA from 1 species